AGAGUUUGAUCCUGGCUCAGGAUGAACGCUAGCGGCGUGCCUAAUGCAUGCAAGUCGAACGGGAAGCCUUGGAUUCGUCUGAGGUGGAGAGUGGCGAACGGGUGAGUAACGCGUAGGUGACCUGCCCCAGAGAGGGGGAUAACUAUUGGAAACGAUAGCUAAUACCCCGGAUGUCAACGCUUUUAGAAAGCAUUGACUAAAGCUCCGGCGCUCUGGGAGGGGCCUGCGUCCCAUCAGCUAGUUGGUGAGGUAAUGGCUCACCAAGGCAAAGACGGGUAGGGGGCGUGAGAGCGUGGCCCCCCACACUGGUACUGACACACGGACCAGAUACCUACGGGUAGCAGCAGCAAGGAAUAUUGCGCAAUGGACGAAAGUCUGACGCAGCAACGCCGCGUGGAGGAAGAAGGCCUUCGGGUUGUAAACUCCUUUUCUGGGGGAAGAGAAAGGACGGUACCCCAGGAAUAAGGCCCGGCUAACUACGUGCCAGCAGCCGCGGUAAAACGUAGGGGUCAAGCGUUAUCCGGAUUUACUGGGCGUAAAGCGCGUGUAGGCGGCUGCUUAAGUCGGACGUGAAAGCUCCUGGCUCAACUAGGAGAGGCCGUUCGAAACUAGGUAGCUUGAGGAUGGUAGAGGAGAGUGGAUUUCCCGGUGUA
rnacentral:rRNA from 1 species